rnacentral:rRNA from 1 species
UACGGUAGGGUGCAAGCGUUAAUCGGAAUUACUGGGCGUAAAGCGUGCGCAGGCGGUGAUGUAAGACAGGUGUGAAAUCCCCGGGCUUAACCUGGGAACUGCAUUUGUGACUGCAUCGCUGGAGUGCGGCAGAGGGGGAUGGAAUUCCGCGUGUAGCAGUGAAAUGCGUAGAUAUGCGGAGGAACACCGAUGGCGAAGGCAAUCCCCUGGGCCUGCACUGACGCUCAUGCACGAAAGCGUGGGGAGCAAACAGG